GGUCACACUGGAGACAGGAAACCUGCUGCCAUGUGGUUGGAACUAUAGGUCAUUAUUGAUUGAGAUACUUGGUCACACUGGAGACAGGAAACCUGCUGCCAUGUGGUUGGAACUAUAGGUCAUUAUUGAUUGAGAUACUUGGUCACACUGGAGACAGGAAACCUGCUGCCAUGUGGUUGGAACUAUAGGUCAUUAUUGAUUGAGAUACUUGGUCACACUGGAGACAGGAAACCUGCUGCCAUGUGGUUGGAACUAUAGGUCAUUAUUGAUUGAGAUACUUGGUCACACUGGAGACAGGAAACCUGCUGCCAUGUGGUUGGAACUGUAACGGGGUAAAAAUAUAUAACACUGUAUGUAUAUAUGUUUUAUUUUAUUUGCUACUUAUUUUAUAAUAUUUUAUUAAUGGGUUAUUUCGUUUGUUUUUAGGAUAUUCGUCGUAGAGAAUACCCUAUUAGACAACGCCCUAACUUUUCUUUCCGGUCAAAUUGGAGUUUAGCCAAUGAUAUUUUAUUCUGGUGUCAUGUGACAUUGGUCACGGCUAGUCCGUGCCACAUUCACAUUGAACAGCAAGCCAUCAACACACGACAUAAUUCUCAACUAUUUCUUGAUUAUUUUUUCAUCUUUUCUGCGACGGUUACACAGGAUGAGGAAUUGUCAUUAAUACUCGGCAACCAGUUCGGUCCAUAGCCCACAGCCAAGGACCUUUAUUUGACGGUUGCCAAAUAAACCGAAUCCUACCCA